UCGGGGAUCGUCUAAUGGUAGGACAUCGGCCUUUGAAGCCGUCAAUCUAGGUUCGAGCCCUAGUCCCCGAA
rnacentral:tRNA from 1 species